rnacentral:rRNA from 1 species
AUUGAACGCUGGCGGCAGGCCUAACACAUGCAAGUCGAGCGAGCGGCGGACGGGUGAGUAAUGUGUGUGGACUGCCCGCUAGAGGGGGAUAACUCCUGUAAACGGUAUCUAAUACCGCAUACUAUCUCAUAACCCAUAUGGGAUUAGCUAGUAGGUGGGGUAAUGGCUCACCUAGGCGACGAUCCCUAGCUGGUCUGAGAGGAUGAUCAGCCACACUGGGACUGAGACACGGCCCAGACUCCUACGGAGGCAGCAGUGGGGAAUAUUGCACAAUGGGCGCAAGCCUGAUGCAGCCAUGCCGCGUGUAUGAAGAAGGCCCUAGGGUUGUAAAGUACUUUCAGUGGGGAGGCGUUACCGGCAGAAGAAGCACCGGCUAACUCCGUGCCAGCAGCCGCGGUAAUAC